CUGCAUGGCUGCGUCAGCUCGUGUCGUGAGAUGUUGGGUUAAGUCCCGGCAACGAGCGCAACCCUUGCCUUUAGUUGCCAGCAGUUCGGCUGGGCACUCUAAAGGGACUGCCGGUGUUAAACCGGAGGAAGGUGGGGAUGACGUCAAGUCCUCAUGGCCUUUAUGACCAGGGCUACACACGUACUACAAUGGCCGAUACAAAGGGCAGCGACACUGCGAGGUGAAGCCAAUCCCGUAAAAUCGGUCUCAGUCCGGAUUGGAGUCUGCAACUCGACUCCAUGAAGUUGGAAUCGCUAGUAAUCGUGGAUCAGCAUGCCACGGUGAAUACGUUCCCGGGCCUU
rnacentral:rRNA from 1 species